rnacentral:rRNA from 1 species
AGAAUCAACGCUGGCGGCGUGCCUAACACAUGCAAGUCGCACGAGAAAGGGACUUCGGUCCUGAGUACAGUGGCGCACGGGUGAGUAACACGUGAAUCAUCUACCUUCGAGUGGGGAAUAACUGAGAGAAAUCUUAGCUAAUACCGCAUAAUACCUACGGGUCAAAGCAGCAAUGCGCUUGAAGAGGAGUUCGCGGCAGAUUAGUUAGUUGGCGGGGUAAUGGCCCACCAAGACGAUGAUCUGUA